UACGUAGGGUGCGAGCGUUAAUCGGAAUUACUGGGCGUAAAGCGUGCGCAGGCGGUUGGUUAAGUCUGAUGUGAAAGCCCCGGGCUCAACUUGGGAACUGCAUUGGAAACUGGCCAGCUGGAGUGUGGCAGAGGGGGGUGGAAUUCCGCGUGUAGCAGUGAAAUGCGUAGAGAUGCGGAGGAACACCGAUGGCGAAGGCAGCCAUCUGGACCGACACUGACGCUGAGGCGCGAAAGCGUGGGGAGCAAACAGG
rnacentral:rRNA from 1 species